UGUCUGUGAGAUUGGCUUAGGUCAUGA
rnacentral:sRNA from 1 species